UGUCGUGAAGAUGUUGGGUUAAGUCCCGUAACGAGCGCAACCCCUUGUCCUUAGUUACCAGCACGUAAUGGUGGGCACUCUAAGGAGACUGCCGGUGACAAACCGGAGGAAGGUGGGGAUGACGUCAAGUCAUCAUGGCCCUUACGGCCUGGGCUACACACGUGCUACAAUGGUCGGUACAGAGGGUUGCCAAGCCGCGAGGUGGAGCUAAUCCCAGAAAACCGAUCGUAGUCCGGAUCGCAGUCUGCAACUCGACUGCGNGAAGUCGGAAUCGCUAGUAAUCGCGAAUCAGAAUGUCGCGGUGAAUACGUUCCCGGGCCUUGUACACACCGCCCGUC
rnacentral:rRNA from 1 species